CACGUAGGGGACGAGCGUUGUCCGGAUUCAUUGGGCGUAAAGCGCGCGUAGGCGGCUCGGAAAGUCGGUCGUGAAAUGCCGGGGCUCAACCCCGGGACUGCGUCCGAUACUUCCGGGCUGGAGGUAGGUAGGGGAGAUCGGAAUUCCUGGUGUAGCGGUGAAAUGCGCAGAUAUCAGGAGGAACACCGGUGGCGAAGGCGGAUCUCAGGGCCUUACCUGACGCUGAGGCGCGAAAGCUAGGGGAGCGAACAGG
rnacentral:rRNA from 1 species